AUGAUGGUGGAUAUCUCAGAGCGAAGGAGUAGAGAUUCGCGAGGGUUUGAUUAUGAAGGGAAAGGAGAGAGGUCAGAAAAUAAGGGUGAAGGUCGAGGAUGGAAGAAAAAGAGAUCAGAAAGAGAUGUCUUAGAUAAUUUUCUGGGCUAUAAGCUAGUGCAAGGACUUAUUUGGAUAUGGUGUCAAUUUUGUUUGCGGAUGCAGGGCUGUUUGAAUUGGUUAAGCAGGUUGCGGGAGCAUAGUACCAUGGCCUCGAUGAAAGAAAACGGAAGCGAUGAGAAGGAAUCUUGA